rnacentral:rRNA from 1 species
AAUAUAUAAGCUUACUUUUGUUUAUUUUUAAUGAAAUAAUUUGUUGUUAUUGUAUUUAUUUUAGAAUUAAUUUGAUUUGUUAUAGUUUAUUUGUACCGUGAGGGAUUGAUUUGAAAUAAUAUUUUUAUUUUGUAAAGUUUAUUUUGUUUAUUGUACCUUGUGUAUCAGGGUUUAUUAAAAUUUAAUAUUUAUAUUUAUUUUCCCGAUAUCAAGGGAGUUAAAUUGAUAUUUUAAUUAAUGUUUAAUAAUUAUUAAGAAUGUUGAUUUGGUAGUGAAAUGUUAAUCGAUCUUGAAUGUAUCUGGUUUUUUGAGAAAUGAAUUUAAUUCAGAUAUUUUCUUUAUAUGUAUUUAUUUAUUAAUUGAUAUUUAGAUAGUAUUAAUACUUUGAGGGAUAAGCUUUGAAGUAAGAUUUUAUAAAUUGUUAGUCUGUUAAGUAUUUUGGAUUUAGGGUUGAUUAUAUAUUAAAAUAUGUUGUAAUUUAACUUAUUUAUUUUGAUAUUUAUCUUAUUUUUUAAGUUUUUUAUCAAAAAUUUUUAUUUAAUAAAUUUUUAAUGGUUUUUAUGAUGAAAUUAGUAUAAUCUGAUAAUUUAAUUGUUUUUGGUUAUUAAAAAAUAAUUAGGAAUUAGGCAAAUAUUGUGUUCGCCUGUUUAACAAAAACAUCUCUUUCCGUUUUAUUUGGGAAGUAUAACCUGCCCGCUGACUUAAGUUGAAGGGCCGCGGUAAUUUGACCGUGCAAAGGUAGCAUAAUCAUUAGUCUUUUAAUUGGAGGCUGGAAUGAAUGGUUGGACGAGACAUAUACUGUCUUAUUAUUUAUAUUAGAAUUUAAUUGUUAAGUAAGAAAGCUUAAAUUUAUUUAUGGGACGAGAAGACCCUAUAGAGUUUAAUAAUUUAUAUUAUUUGUGGUGUGAUUAUUAUCUAUUAAGUUAAAUUAUUUUAUUGGGGUGAUAGGAAGGUAAAAUAAACUCUUUUUGUUUUUGAAUAUUUAUUUAUAUAUAUUUGAUCCAAAAUUUUUGAUUAGAAGACUAAAUUACCUUAGGGAUAACAGCGUAAUCUUCUUAGAGAGUUCCAAUCGACAAGGAGGAUUGCGACCUCGAUGUUGGAUUAAGAUAAACGUUAGGUGUAGAAGCUUAAAAUGUUAGGUCUGUUCGACCUUUAAAAUCUUACAUGAUCUGAGUUCAAACCGGCGUGAGCCAGGUUGGUUUCUAUCUAUAAUAGUGUUUAGAAUUUUAGUACGAAAGGACCAAAUUCUUGGAAUAAUUUUAUUAUGUUGAUUAUUAUUAAGUU